rnacentral:rRNA from 1 species
CCUACGGGUGGCAGCAGUGAGGAAUAUUGGUCAAUGGGCGGGAGCCUGAACCAGCCAAGCCGCGUGAGGGAAGAAGGUACAGCGUAUCGUAAACCUCUUUUGUCAGGGAACAAAGGCGGGGACUAGUCCCCGGCUGAGGGUACCUGAAGAAAAAGCAUCGGCUACCUCCGUGCCAGCAGCCGCGGUAAUACGGAGGAUGCGAGCGUUAUCUGGAUUUAUUGGGUUUAAAGGGUGCGCAGGGGGCCUGUUAAGUCAGCGGUAAAAGCCCGGGGCAAAAGCGUGGCGAGCCGUUGAAACUGGCUGGCUGGAGUUGGAAAGAAGUACGCGGAAUGCGCGGUGUAGCGGUGAAAUGCUUAGAUAUCGCGCAGAACCCCGAUUGCGAAGGCAGCGUACGGGCUCCACACUGACGCUGAGGCACGAAAGCGUGGGUAUCGAACAGGAUUAGAUACCCGAGUAGUC